UGACAGCAAGUUUUCCUUUGUGACGCUCUAUUUCCUCGGUGCAAGCUGCAAUUGCUUUAGUAAGGAUUGCUAUGCCUUGCUCCUGCCAAAAGCAAUAAAAUAGAAACCGAAACCUAACAAGUUGAGUUCUCUUAAAUUAUAAAUUUCAAAGAAGAGCUACAUGUACAAAAGUAUAUAUCAACGGUUCCACAAUCAGAUAUAAACAAAGAGAGGAAUGUUGUAACCCACAAGCUGUAUAGAAAAGUUUGUAUUUGCACUCCACAACAGUGGAUCAGCUUUUAAAGCAGUGUAUCCGUUACACUAUCUUUUAAACACAUCUAAACCAAGACAACUAUCUGCAUACCUUUAGUUUUAUACAUCAUAGAAAGUAAUCUUUACUUCAGUAGUCAGCCACUAGCAGUGGUACUUUCUACAGUUCAAUGCGAAUAGUGAUAUCUAGUACAAGCGAUUUAGCAUACAUCACCUUGAGGUAUUUAUCUGCAUUUGAUGAUUAUCAUAUAACACCCUCGAGGUAGUUGUUAGAAGGCAUAAUGCGGUAGGUGACCAAUUAAGAAACUAGUAUAAAUGCUUGCACUACUUGAUUUUUCAAGGAACUAUGCUCAGCAAUUGACCACUAAAGUAUUUUUCAAUUCUUGUUUUUCACUUUCCAGCAGCAGUACGACAUAAGAGAUUAAUUCUAGAAGUAGCUUUAACAUUGAUUAUAGUUAAUGAGCACACUGAGAGUAUGAAACGAUAAUGGUAGUUAAAAGAAUGAUCCUAUGAAGUUGACAUUCAUUCUUAACCACCUAACUCAAAAAUAAGCACAAUAAAACCAAAGAGAAAGCCAAAAGAUUUUUGGGAAGCAACCCAUGAUGGAUAGGAGAAAAAUGACAUCGAACAGGUAGUCCCCGAAGGUCAUAAUAAGCAAAAGGGGUCCAGAUAGAGCAUCCUAAAAAGUGUAUUAUCCAAACAGGCGCCUUUCUUUGACUAUAAAACAAUGAUAGAUAAGUGGAAGUAUUACUGAUAAAAUAAGAACUCACUCUGCAACAGCUGAGAUGAUGGAGAGAGAAAAGGGAAAAAAGAGUCUUUCAAGCUAAAUCAAGGUGAAGGAGGUAAUAGCACAUAGCGGGCAGUCUAUAAGCAUUCGGCCUGCCACUUGCUAAGAGAUGGACAAAGAAUGUUUCCAUAAAAUUUUCCGCCAGCUGAUCGAGUUCGAUAUUAAACCUGGAUAAGGAACUCUGACCCCGCCCUUGAAGCAGUUAGCUUUCCCAACUUUCUUCGUUUUUUCAAAAAUAAAUAUAUGCUUUCAAGGCGGGACUAACAUGUACUGCAUGUUCUUGACCAAAAUGACCUCAGAACAAUAAAAAAGCUCCACCAAAAACCAAUCUGAUACAUUUGAAAUGUGACGACUAAAAACAUUUUACUCAGGUAAAACAGGCUACCCAUAAAUAUAUGCAAUAAACAAUUACUUACCUUGUCAAGAGU
rnacentral:lncRNA from 1 species